GCUGGGCGCAGUGGCGCACACCUGUAAUCCCUGCAGCUUGGGAGGCCGAGACAGGAGAAUCUCGAGUUCAAAGUCAGCCUCAGCAAUGGCAAGGCACUAAGCAACUCAGUGUAGACCCUGUCUCUA
rnacentral:sRNA from 1 species